rnacentral:rRNA from 1 species
AUUCUUGGUCAUUUAGAGGAAGUAAAAGUCGUAACAAGGUUUCCGUAGGUGAACCUGCGGAAGGAUCAUUAUCGAAAUAAACCUGAGCAGGCUGUUUUGCUGGUCCUCUCAAGGGACAUUGUGCACGCUUGUCGUCUUUAUUUUUCCAACCGUGCACCUAUUGUAGACCUGGAGUUUUUCUUAUCGUUCGAAUAGAUUGAGGACUGCCGUUUCUUUCGGCUUUGCCUUGUGUCUCCAGGUCUAUGUUGCAAACACAUUUUCACAACAUGUCUCAGAAUGUCGAGUACUGGGGAUAACAAAUAUACAACUUUCAGCAACGGAUCUCUUGGCUCUCGCAUCGAUGAAGAACGCAGCGAAAUGCGAUAAGUAAUGUGAAUUGCAGAAUUCAGUGAAUCAUCGAAUCUUUGAACGCAUCUUGCGCUCCUUGGUAUUCCGAGGAGCAUGCCUGUUUGAGUGUCAUCAAAAGUUCUCAACCACACUGGUUUCUCUGGUGUGGCUUGGAUUUGGGGGUUUGCAGGCUUUCAAGUCGGCUCUCCUGAAAAAGAUUAGCGGUAUCUGAGCAGAAACCAAGCCUCGGGCGUGAUAAUUAUCUAUGCCUUGGUGUAUAAUCUGUGUGGGCUGCUUAUAACUGAGUGUUGACAGAUUUGACCUCAAAUCAGGUAGGACUACCCGCUGAACUUAAGCAUAUCAAUAAGCGGAGGAAAAGAAACUAACAAGGAUUCCCCUAGUAACUGCGAGUGAAGCGGGAAAAGCUCAAAUUUAAAAUCUGGCGGUUCUUGACCGUCCGAGUUGUAAUCUAGAGAAGUGUUACCUGUGCUGGACCAUGUACAAGUCUCCUGGAAUGGAGCAUCAUAGAGGGUGAGAAUCCCGUCUUUGACAUGGACUGCCUGCAUGUCGUGGUGCGCUCUCGAAG